rnacentral:rRNA from 1 species
AGUGAACGCUGGCGGUAGGCCUAACACAUGCAAGUCGAACGGCAGCACAGUAAGAGCUUGCUCUUACGGGUGGCGAGUGGCGGACGGGUGAGGAAUACAUCGGAAUCUACUUUUUCGUUGGGGAUAACGUAGGGAAACUUACGCUAAUACCGCAUACGACCUACGGGUGAAAGCAGGGGAUCUUCGGACCUUGCGCGAUUGAAUGAGCCGAUGUCGGAUUAGCUAGUUGGCGGGGUAAAGGCCCACCAAGGCGACGAUCCGUAGCUGGUCUGAGAGGAUGAUCAGCCACACUGGAACUGCGACACGGUCCAGACUCCUACGGGAGGCAGCAGUGGGGAAUAUUGGACAAUGGGCGCAAGCCUGAUCCAGCCAUACCGCGUGGGUGAAGAAGGCCUUCGGGUUGUAAAGCCCUUUUGUUGGGAAAGAAAAGCAGCAGGUUAAUACCCCGCUGUUCUGACGGUACCCAAAGAAUAAGCACCGGCUAACUUCGUG